GACGAAUGCUGGCUGCGUGCUUAACACAUGCAAGUCGAACGGUGAAAGGGAGCUUGCUCCCUGGAUCAGUGGCGAACGGGUGAGUAACACGUGGGCAACCUGCCCCUCACUCUGGGAUAACUCCGGGAAACCGGGGCUAAUACCGGAUACGACCUGGUGCGACAUCGCACCGGGUGGAAAGAACUUCGGUGAGGGAUGGGCCCGCGGCCUAUCAGCUUGUUGGUGGGGUAACGGCCCACCAAGCGGACGACGGGUAGCCGGCCUGAGAGGGCGGCGGGCCACACUGGGACUGAGACACGGGCCAGAGUCCUACGUGAGGCUGCAGUGGGGAAUAUUGCGCAAUGGGCGAAAGCCUGACGCAGCGACGCAGCGUGAGGGACGAAGGCCUUCGGGUUGUAAACCUCUUUCAGCGGGGACGAAGCGAAAGUGACGGUACCCGCAGAAGAAGCACCGGCUAACUACGUGCCAGCCGCCGCAGUAAAAC
rnacentral:rRNA from 1 species